rnacentral:lncRNA from 1 species
UAUUAUAGUUUAUUUUUAUUUUAUUUUAUUAUUAUUUUUAAAUUUUUUAUACUUGAAUUUCAAUUCUAGUUAAUGAAAAAUUUAUUUUCUUGUACUUUAAAUUUCUGUCUUUUAUUUUUUACAAGUAGAUGCUAGGAUCUAGUUAGAAGAUCUUAGUACCUGAUUUAUUUUUUACACUUUUAAUUUUUAUUUUUCAACUUAAAUUAUUUUCUUCAAAAUUUUAUUUUUUUUACAAAAUCAAAGAUUUCAACUCAAAAUCUUGCCUUCUCUGUGGAUUCGAUCCGACU